rnacentral:rRNA from 1 species
AUGCUUUCGUGUAGCGAGUCUACCCAUAUCAUUCACAGUGACAACGAAGACAAUAUGCUCAAGGAGUUGACAUGCGAAUCAAAGCAUCUCAUCAUCACUGAAUAUGCCUCACCUUAUUUCAGAAAGAAAAAGGACAGCGCUCGAGACAGCAGACACACUUUCUUAAAGGGCUAUAAGAAACUAAUCCACAUAUUCUUGUUGCGUGCAUGCCUCGUUAGUCAGUCUUUAUAUCUUCUAGUGGUGUCAUGGGAAAAUACCAAAGCAGUCAUUAUAGAUAUGCAACCAAUGACCGCUCUGCUGAAAUUGGUGUCAUAUAAAGUUUCAUAA